AACAAAAAAACAAUUGUCUUACUUCUGUGGUUCAGUCAUACUACACAUAUCGAAGCACUGUAAACCGGAUUGUUAGCCAGCUGUAACCAACUAGCCGGUCAGCCAGCUAGUUCGGGUUUAAAUUUUACGCCAUUUAAGGACAUUCAUUAAAAUAUCAGCGAUGUAUAAACCAUUCUUACAAUCUAUCUACAUAUCAAAUGCUAAUACAAAGAACUGGAUCUAUAUGUUAAAUAAUAAAUAAUAACAUUAUGGUAGCAAGUGAUGAAAAUAAAUAUGACAGUCUGAUACAAAAUAUUCAAUGGAAAUUUCACAGCAAUGACACAAUAUUACACGGAAACAAUCUGAACAAGUUAAAAUAAGGCGAACACCUUUAAACUUAGGUUAAAACUUUACCUCGUGAUUUCACAAGAAACUGUUUAAUGGGAGAGUCCCCUGAAGUUUUAAACCCACAGCGAUAAAAUAACCAUCAAAAUAAAUCAAACUAACAGAUUUUGCUUUAAUACGACACGAUAAUUAUCAUUCUAACUGGAAUAGACUGCGCUAAAUAUUAGUUAACAAGCUAUUUAACUCAGUUUUAGGAUGCAACUAGACAUUACUUAUUUCGAAAGUCAGUAAUGGAGCUCUUAUACAAACUAUAGAUCCAGUGAUAGGGCUGUUGUUGUUUUGUUUUUGCUAAGACUGUAUGUCGUUCGGGAUCGGGUCUGUACAUAAAACAGACCGCCGCCAUUGCUCUGACGUCACCAUCACAUUCCACACAGAAAGGAAAGUAGGGAAGAGAGCAAUUAGACUUGAAAUAAAGAAAGAAAGAGAAGAAGUAAGUCUAAGGCAAAGGGUUUUAAUAUCCCUCUAGUGGGUCUUCGUUUUGCUUUCAACAUAAACAGAACACGGGCCUGCUGAAAGUGAACAUAAGUGUGAUGAUGUGCAGCGUGUGGAGCGCGUACUGCGGAUGACAAGUCAAAACAAAAUAGAAUUGAAUUUUAAAUAUUACACUGGACAAACAAAAGAGUCGUGUUUUGAACAACAAUAAAGUGGGAUAUAAUGGAAGCGUCCCAAAAUUUGGUCAAGUUUUUUUUUAAACAUUAAUUCCUACAUUCUGAAAAUAAGAUACAUGAAUCUCAUAGCUGUGUAAUGAUUCAAACAGCUUUCAUUAUUCAUUUAAAACGUCGUACAUUGGAUGUAACAAUGUCAAAUCAGAAUGCAAUGAAAAUUUUGAUACUUUCCACAAUUAAAACACAUCGAGUCAAAUCAUAUUAUGAAAAAAAUUCUAAUGUUGAUUUGUGAUAAAAAUUACGUUGAAAUUUUGAGUUAACACUCAAUUACUAUAGUGUCAACAUUAAAAUUAAACAAUCGAAUUUCUCGUAUUUCACCUUAUAACUUGUGAUUUUGAUGAAUAUUACAUCAGAGCUCAUAAUCGCUUUCUUUCAAUUUACGUUUAAAAAUUGUUUAUGUAUUUCUAUAUAUAUUAAUCGGAUUUGAGAGAAUAUACAUUUUCUAGAAUUGGUCCACUUAAUCACAAAUAAAUCUAUCUAAAUUUUCAAAUAUUUCCAAAAGAAAAUCAUAAAUGGCUUUUUAUAGGGCUACGGAUAGUAUAAAUGAAAAUACUUUUGAUUAAUUGCAUCGAAUAUGCAAUAUUUCAAAAUACAGAAUACAUAAUAUACACGAUUUGAAUCUCGUAACGCAUCAUAUAUUUAAUAUCCUUAAGAUUGUUGACAUUUUGAAUACAACUUACGUGGUUUGUACUAUAUAAAUCCAAUAUUUCGUGUAAUUUGUCUCGAAGAUUUUUGACGUAAUGGCUAGUACAAGCAAUACUUAAAUAUUUCUUUAUGAGACUAAUAUUUCAAAAUAUGCAGUACAUAAUAUACAGGAUCUGAAUCCUGUAACUAUCAUAUAUUUAGGACCCUUAAGAAUGCUGACCUUUUUUAUACAUAUUUUUUACUCUUCUUGUUGAGCUUUCAUUUAACUUAUAUGGUUUUUAUUAUACAUACGAAUCUCAUAUUUUGUAAAUCACGUCUUAAAAUAGUUUUCAUAUUUUGGCUAAUCCAAGAAACACGUCACUAAUUCUUCAAUCAAAAUUAUUAAAAACAAGAGACUCAUAUGUCAGAGGUAAUUGACACGUAAGCCCAAUGUACAUUUCAUGAAGAUAGUUAUUCAAUAACUAGAUUAUAAAAUAGCUCUAAAAACACAAUUGAGUACCGAAUCAAUAAUUAAAAGCUUCAAAUGUGUUGGCCAGUUCUCAAGUGUAUUAGUGAUCGUUCUCAUAUAAAGUUUUGUUAAUAUUUGUAUAUAAAUAUUCGAAAUAAUUAAAUAAAAAUGUUGUUUACUGUAAAAGUACAUUUAAUGUAUUUUCGUAUGAUAUAAGCAUCAUGUCAGUAGCAAAAUCCAUCACCAAUGUGUCUUAAGGAUUUACUAUUAAUUCUAUUGUGGUAAUAAAACUUUUAAAGUAAAUGCUAUUAGCCAUCAUUCAUGGCAAUUGAACGCAAUGAAAUCUCGGGCGAUCAGAUGUAUAAGAUAGAUGUUAUCAUGAAACUUGUCCGAGGCUGUUCAAAACAUAUUACAACGCCAUUUUCAUACGGCUGAUAGCCCGAGGAAACCUCAUUGUACUAUUUUUAGGUCAGCUCGAACUACUGACAAUUUUUAUAAAUUUACAUAUUUUUACCAAUAAUUAAUUAAAUGAGCUGGAAGAAAAUCUUGAUCUGAUUAUGUUAAAUGCUACUGAUACAAGUGUUGCAUAUUUAUUUGUAAUCACGUUUAUUUCAGUAUGUUUGAAACGUAGUGAUGUAUUAGUGCUAAUAAUCUCUUUUAUAGGUCACAGUUAUUAUAAUUGUUAAGAGAAUUUUAUUUUGUAAAAAUAAUAUUUGCUCGUGAACACAAGCGAGCGACUUAAUAUUGUAACAAUUUUGUAUCAAAAAUAAAUAUUUUAGAAACCCA